CUGAAUAUUUGGUUUUUAACAAAACCAAAUAUUUUGUUUUUAGCUGAACUAAUCUAAAUAUAUUUACAUAUUUAUAUUUAUAUUGGCCGUAGUUUGAGGAUUCCUGGUGUAAACAAAGGAAUUAUGGGAAUUGAGUGCAGGUUUUCUCCCACUAACAGCCCCGCCCACAAAUCAGAGGAGAUUUUUUUUUUAAGAAUUUCUGUCCUAGAAAAAUGACAGGAUUUUUAUUUUUUAUUGUUGUCUAAAAACAGCAUAAUUAAAUUUAAAGGACCACUUUUAAAAUAGAUCAAACUAGGAUCUGAGGGACUUUAAGAAGACGCCGUGCAGCAGCAGCAGGAACUGAACCUCCAACCUCUCAACCACCGAUCGGUGUCUCUACUUCUGAAUUAGAGACUUUCUCCUCUGGUUUCAGAAAACGAGAAGCACCUUUAGAAAUACGGCUUGUUUGUUGUGUUGGAAUGAUCGGAAAAAUGACUCAAGAGACAGACAAGAACGUGAGAAAAACAACAAAUCUCCAACACAACAUGAAUGCAAAAUCACUGACUACACCUAAACACAACUCAGUUUAUCUGUAGUGCACCGUCUGAGGCACGUGUCAAAGUCGAGGCCCGGGGGCCGGAUCCGGCCCUCCAGUGCAUGAAUCAGCGUCUACCAGCAGAAUGACUGGGCAGAAAUCAUUUCCUGUUUCAUGUUUGGCGUGAAAGUCGGUGGCCUAAAGGCGGCGGUGAAGCAGCGUCUGUCUGUGUGGUCUCGUCUUAAAUGGAGAGGUGCAGUGAGAGGGUUCACACGGCCCAACCGGACGUCCCGUACACUUUAACUAUACUACUUUAGAGGGAUUUCUAUUUGAUUUUGUCUUAACUUCUAUAAGACGAAACGUUCUGAUAAAUGGACGUUUUCUUGUUUGUAAUGAGACUUUUUAACAACUGAGAUAAAUAAAAAACAAACACAUUUAGGUCUUGAAAGUCUCCACGUGUUAUCCAUGUAUUCCACGUGUCAAAGUCAAGACCCAAGAUCCAGGUCUUUCCACGUAAUUCUA